rnacentral:rRNA from 1 species
UACGUAGGGGGCAAGCGUUGUCCGGAAUUAUUGGGCGUAAAGCGCGCGCAGGCGGUGUAUUAAGUUGUGGGUAAAAGGCAAUGGCUCAACCAUUGUAAGCCUGCAAAACUGGUAGACUUGAGUGCAGGAGAGGGGAGUGGAAUUCCCGGUGUAGCGGUGGAAUGCGUAGAGAUCGGGAGGAACACCAGUGGCGAAGGCGACUCUCUGGCCUGUAACUGACGCUGAGGCGCGAAAGCGUGGGUAGCGAACAGG